AGAGUUUGAUCCUGGCUCAGAUUGAACGCUGGCGGCAUGCUUUACACAUGCAAGUCGAACGGCAGCACGAAAGAGCUUGCUCUUUUGGUGGCGAGUGGCGAACGGGUGAGUAAUGCAUCGGAACGUACCGAGUAAUGGGGGAUAACUAUCCGAAAGGAUAGCUAAUACCGCAUACGCUUUGAGAAGGAAAGUGGGGGCUCUUCGGACCUCACGUUAUUCGAGCGGCCGAUGUCUGAUUAGCUAGUUGGUGGGGUAAAGGCCUACCAAGGCGACGAUCAGUAGCGGGUCUGAGAGGAUGAUCCGCCACACUGGGACUGAGACACGGCCCAGACUCCUACGGGAGGCAGCAGUGGGGAAUUUUGGACAAUGGGCGCAAGCCUGAUCCAGCCAUGCCGCGUGUCUGAAGAAGGCCUUCGGGUUGUAAAGGACUUUUGUUAGGGAAGAAAAGGAUAGUGUUAAUACCAUUAUCUGCUGACGGUACCUAAAGAAUAAGCACCGGCUAACUACGUGCCAGCAGCCGCGGUAAUACGUAGGGUGCGAGCGUUAAUCGGAAUUACUGGGCGUAAAGCGAGCGCAGACGGUUACUUAAGCAGGAUGUGAAAUCCCCGGGCUCAACCUGGGAACUGCGUUCUGAACUGGGUAGCUAGAGUAUGUCAGAGGGGGGUAGAAUUCCACGUGUAGCAGUGAAAUGCGUAGAGAUGUGGAGGAAUACCGAUGGCGAAGGCAGCCCCCUGGGAUAAUACUGACGUUCAUGCUCGAAAGCGUGGGUAGCAAACAGGAUUAGAUACCCUGGUAGUCCACGCCCUAAACGAUGUCAAUUAGCUGUUGGGCAACAUGAUUGCUUAGUAGCGUAGCUAACGCGUGAAAUUGACCGCCUGGGGAGUACGGUCGCAAGAUUAAAACUCAAAGGAAUUGACGGGGACC
rnacentral:rRNA from 1 species